GAAAUAGAUAGAGACAAGCCGACAGUAUACAGUUAGCAGCAUAGUGAAGAAUGGUGGGAAGUUCCGGUGCCGGACCAUUGGGCUUUCCCUUGUUCCUUGAACCCACUCCCGCCGCCGUUGAUCUCUUCGCAACUGCCACUUCUCUCCGUCUCACUCACUUUCUCCGCCGCCGUAUUACCCAUCACAUUCGCUUCGCCUUCAAUCUCCAUUCGUUCGAUAAGCAGAAACUUGCUCCUGUCAUUGAAUUCUCUUCUAAAGUGAAGAAUGCAUGGUGUUCAAGUGCUCUUCAUUUUCCAGGAUUAAAUUUUCUUGAAGUUAUUUUAUCAUCCACACAUGCUGCUUGUUUAUAUUUCUUUGGUGGUGGGGAAACUGGGAGUAGCUUAAAAAAUGAGCGGAUAUCUCACUGGAAAACAUCAAAUAGAAAUCCACAAAAUGAUCAAAGAUGGACCAAUAUUCUUCUUGCUGUUAAUAUUUUAGCUUAUCUAGCUCAAGUAGCAUCAGAAGGAAAGUUACUCCUAUGGGGAGCUAAGAUAAAUGGUCUAAUUGAUCAAGGACAAUUAUGGAGGUUGGUCACGUCUUCUUUUUUGCAUGCAAAUAUUGGGCACUUGAUGGUUAAUUGUUAUUCUUUAAAUUCUGUUGGUCCCGCGGUGGAGAAAGUAUCUGGUACUUGGAGAUUUCUUGCAGUGUACUUUGCCUCGGCAAUUGCAAGUUCAUCCAUGAGUUAUUGGUUCUGCAAGGCACCUUCUGUUGGUGCAUCAGGAGCAAUCUUUGGACUGGUUGGAUCCUUUGCUGUAUUUGUUGCAAGACAUAGGAAACUGGUCGGUAGAGGCAAAGAAGAUCUUCGGCACAUCGCUCAAAUAAUAAUCUUAAAUAUGGCUAUCGGGAUAAUGUCCAGAGGCAUCGAUAACUGGGGACAUGUUCAAGAAUGACUAAAUCUUCAGGACGCACAAACAUAUUGAACCAACUUGUUUACAACCGUCCAAAAUUAAGAAAAUGUGACUUCAUUAAAUUUUUAUCACACUAGUUUACUUAAUAGCCUAAUAUUAAUCCAAAUCCAAAAAAAUAAAGUCCAAACAACCCAAUCCAACAUCAGUCCAAAUACCAAAAAAAAAAAAAAAAAAGAAAAGGUCCACAUAAACCCUAAACCCAAUCCAACGUCAGUUCAAAUACAAGAAAAAAGGUCCAAAUAACACUCCAAACUAAUGCCGUAUGGCAGUCCAUUUUUUCUUUUGAAGUUAAACAUUCCAAAAUCAAACCAUAAAUCAGUCAAAAUUUAAAAAAAAGGUCCAAGUAAAUGGUUCAAAAUCAAACCACAGAUAACACAUCCAUACACAACAUUAUAGAUCUACACACAAUAUCAUUUAAUGUUAAAAAAAAUCUAAAAUAAGAAAUCCAAACAAUAGUCCAAAAACGAACUAGAUCACACCAAACAACAGCCCAUUAACCCAUAAUUCAAUGCGCACAAAAGCUAACUAGAUCCAAACUAAUCUACAAAAAUAUGGAAAAUUUUAUAAAAAAUCUAGAUCACAGCAAAUAACACCCUAGAUCUAUUGAUCUAUUCAUCCAUACACAAAAAACAUUAUAGAUCUACACCCAUAAUAUCACAUAAUGUUAAAAAAAAACCCUUAAGCAGCAACGGACGGCAGCGGGUAGUUGGCGGUAUAUGGCAACGAGUGGCAGCGGUGGCUGGGGAAGAAAGUUGAGAGCAAAGAGGGUUUGGAGCGGGUGAAUAGCAGAUUUGGAGGGGGGCAAUUUUUGGGGACCACGAACUCGUGGACCCGGCGGCCAUAUCUGACGAAAAUUGUGGACCCGGUUCAUGAUUUAACUUAACUAGACGUGAGCGCGCUUGGAGGAUUUCUAGGUGGGGCUGCAAUCUCGUGGCUUCUUGGACCUGCUUGGAAGGAGGAACCUUCGUUUGAAAAUGGCCAAAGAACGUUUACAGAUAGGGCUCCAAUUUUUUUCCUCAUCAGUGGAAGGAAAAG